rnacentral:rRNA from 1 species
GACGAACGCUGGCGGCGUGCUUAACACAUGCAAGUCGAGCGGGGAUCAUGGAGGUGCUUGCACGGAAAUGAUUCUAGCGGCGGACGGGUGAGUAACGCGUGAGCAAUCUGUCCCAUACAGGGGGAUAACAACUGGAAACAGUUGCUAAUACCGCAUAAGACCACGAUGUCGCAUGGCAUUGAGGUAAAAGAUUUAUCGGUAUGGGGUGAGCUCGCGUCUGAUUAGCUAGUUGGUGAGGUAACGGCCCACCAAGGCGACGAUCGGUAGCCGACCUGAGAGGGUGAUCGGCCACAUUGGAACUGAGACACGGUCCAG